UUGAUUUGAAUUUGUCAAGUUAAUAUCAUUGGAUUUAUGGGAUUGAUGGAAUGUACAUUCCAUCUCCCAAAAUGAAUGAAUGAUAUUAAUUUGGUAAAAGUCCUCCUUUGACCAAUUUGUGAUCUCAUUCAUCCCCUUCUUCAUUCAUUCAUUUCCAUUUGGCCAAUGACAUCUCAAAGUCAUAAUGCUAGUUGAUUGAAAGAUUAACAUGAGUAUGGAUGAGAUUAGGCCACACCUUUUGCAUAUUUU
rnacentral:lncRNA from 1 species